rnacentral:misc_RNA from 1 species
CCAAUAGCGUAUAUUAAAGUUGUUGCAGUUAAAAAGCUCGUAGUUGAAUUUCGGGAUUGACACAUCGGUCGUGCCUUAAGGGGUAUGAACUGGUGUAGUCAAUUUCUCACCUUCUGGAGAACCGCGAUGCCCUUAAUUGGGUGUCACGGGGAACCAGGACCUUUACUUUGAAAAAAUUAGAGUGUUUAAAGCAGGCAUUUUGCUUGAAUAAAUUAGCAUGGAAUAAUAAAAUAGGACGGCAUGAUUCUAUUUUGUUGGUUUCUAGGAUCACCGUAAUGAUUAAUAGGGAUAGUUGGGGGCAUUAGUAUUCAAUUGUCAGAGGUGAAAUUCUUGGAUUUAUUGAAGACUAACUACUGCGAAAGCAUUUGCCAAGGAUGUUUUCAUUAAUCAAGAACGAAAGUUAGGGGAUCGAAGACGAUCAGAUACCGUCGUAGUCUUAACCAUAAACUAUGCCGACUAGGAAUCAGACGAUGUUAAUUUUUUAAUGACUCGUUUGGCACCUUACG